rnacentral:rRNA from 1 species
GACGAACCGUGCGAACGUUGUUCGGAAUCACUGGGCGUAAAGCGUGCGCAGGCGGUUUUGUAAGCCAGAUGUGAAAGCCCCGGGCUUAACCUGGGAAUGGCAUUUGGGACUGCAAGGCUUGAGUGCGGCAGAGGAGACUGGAAUUCCUGGUGUAGCAGUGAAAUGCGUAGAUAUCAGGAGGAAUACCGAUGGCGAAGGCAGGUCUCUGGGCUGACACUGACGCUCAUGCACGAAAGCGUGGGGAGCAAACAGG